UAGAUUUUGCGCUCAGCUACAUUUGCUAGCUUGAGUUGGUCCUCUGUUGAAAAGUUUCUUGCUUUGAACGAUAAUUGAAUGAUAGCGGGGAAAAACAUUUGACCUGAGUUACGGUUGGUUUGUAAGUUGUCCUAUUUAAACAAAAAAGUUUCCCUUCACACUUUUUCCCCAGUCCAGAGUUACUGAAGUAAAACCACGACGAGAACUUGUGAGAAACCUCCGUUGCCGCCCUACAGUUUGCCUGGCGGACACGUUGGCAGGAAGCAUCACUGGCAUGUCAUCAACUGGCAGCGAAGAAGUCAAUUAGCACACACUAGCUGUCGUGACCCCCUCCGAGGCUGCGCUAGUUAAUUAGCGGUUCAGCUGACGGCGCCCCCCAAAGGCGGCAUGCAAUGCUAGCUGUAGCUGGCGGUCUGACGACGGCUGGCCGGUGCCAUCUAUGAAUUUAAAACAAGCCCCGCCCACUGUGACACACAGAUGGUUUUGUCCUGGCCCUCCCGCAAAGAGCAGAAUCAGAAGAGGAGCUAAUUAGACGCCGCAUUCAACUGGAAGGAAAGGAAGAGAAACAUUGUGCAGUCACUAGGACGCUUCCACGCCAUCUGCCACUGGAAGUCCACCUUGAGAGAAUGGGGCUAAUAUUAGCAGAAUGCACUCCUAGCCUG